rnacentral:rRNA from 1 species
UACGAAGGUAGCUAGCGUUGUUCGGAAUCACUGGGCGUAAAGCGCACGUAGGCGGAUGUGUCAGUCAGGGGUGAAAUCCCGGAGCUCAACUUCGGAACUGCCUCUGAUACAGCACGUCUUGAGUCCGAUAGAGGUGGGUGGAAUUCCUAGUGUAGAGGUGAAAUUCGUAGAUAUUAGGAAGAACACCGGUGGCGAAGGCGGCCCACUGGAUCGGUACUGACGCUGAGGUGCGAAAGCGUGGGGAGCAAACAGG